UGAGUAAACAUUGAAAUAGAAAAAAAUUCAAAGAUGACAUUUUCUAAAGAAUCAACAUUUUACCUUUUACAAAAAUCUAUUAAUUCAUAACUUUUUAGGAGACAAUUACUGUGACCAGAAAGUAAAAGCUAAAAAUUAUGCUCAAAGUAGAUUUUAUAAAUUCAUGUAUAAGUAACUUUUUUUUAAACAGUCAUACAGCAUUUAAGGUAUCAAGUAGAGUUCAAAAUCUUGAACAAAAGGCAUACCAACAUAUUAACAUAACACUAAACUUUUCACAUUUUAUCUAUUAUCUUUUUAAACCCCAUAAUGUAUAAAGUUGCCAUGAUUUAUAGUUUUAAAGAUAAGGACAUUGAAGCAAAAACAAUUGACCAAAAAUCAAAGCAAAUUAGUGGUAGAUCAUAACUACUUAGAUGUUUUUGAUUUCUAGCUCGAUUAUUUACUAAAUAAUUAAUUAUGAUAAAUCUGUACAAUUCUCAAACUACCCAUGCCUUCCUUACCUUGUGAAGUAUAUCCAAUAAGCUAGUUAGGGCCUUUGUUCUUGACAUUUUAUGAUCAGCAACGGUGUGCACAAGUUUUCUAUCAAUUAUCCUUUCCUCUCACUACAUGAUGAAUCUCUUUCUAAUCAAAAAGCUAAAUGACAUCCUUUAUAGUCUCUUUCUAUGAAAUCCUUCACUGGCAAUAUGCUACAGCCUAUUAUUAAUAAUGUUCAUCACAUGAGUCUCCUUUGGGUGAUCAACAACUCUGAUUCUUUGGAAAUAAAAUAUAUCACAUGCCACAAGCCAUGAAGUAUGAACAGUAUUAGUCUAUUUCAGAGAGAAGCUUGAAAAAAAGACUCAAGGAAAUCUAAUUGGCUUACUUUUUCAAUUCUGGGCCAAGUUUACUCUCUACCUCCAUUAUCUAUCUAAAAUACCAAUGGCUCAGUUUUACAAACUAUCAAUUGCAUUUUGAAGUUUUCCUAUAUGAAUAGGGCUUAUCUGAAGAAAGCUUUUAGUUUGGAACAUUCCAUUAAAACAACUGGGCAAAAAUUUAAAAACAAUAGUUAGGAGAUUCAAUAAGGCAAAUUUAUUUUAAAUACUAGGAAGAAAAAAAUCCUAACAAUUAGUCAUCCUAAAAUUAAACAGGAGGCCAAAAUGAAUGAAUUUCCAUCUGUUGGAAAUCUUCAAUUAAGGGUUGAAUAUUCAGUUGUUGGUUAUGUUAUACUAGGGAUUUUUUAGUGUAAUAAUUGGAUUAUAUGGCCACUGAAAUUAAUUCUAACUCUAAUUCUCUGAAAUGUUUUUUAAAAAACAAUCAAAAAGAACAAUGGAAUCUUGUAUUCUCUCUACCUUUCAUAGUCAAUUAUGCUACUAUAGAAACAUUUAUUGAAGAACUUCUGUGAAAAACUUGCCUGCUCUCUUCCUAAAUUUUCAUCAAGAUGUCUGAGUGAAGGAAAAAAAUGGCAUUCAUUUCCUUCAGGAAUGUCCAUCCUGCAAUGUUACAAGGAAUCUGGUAAAAUUUUGACCUGCACAUAAGAGGUCUCUUGUUGGAAGAAUAACUUUCCAUGGAACUUUUGCUAAUUGGACACUCUAUAAAGAAAUUAUUAAAUUUCAAGAAAAAAAAAGGCUGUAAUCUUGAAAAAAAUUAUCAAAGACAAUCCUAAA